UACGGAGGGGGCUAGCGUUGUUCGGAAUCACUGGGCGUAAAGCGCGCGUAGGCGGCUUGAAAAGUUGGAUGUGAAAUCCCGGGGCUUAACCCCGGAACUGCAUUCAAAACUUUCUGGCUAGAGACUUAGAGAGGUGGGCGGAAUUCCGAGUGUAGAGGUGAAAUUCGUAGAUAUUCGGAAGAACACCGGUUGCGAAGGCG
rnacentral:rRNA from 1 species